UACAGAGGUGGCAAGCGUUGUUCGGAAUUACUGGGCGUAAAGGGCGCGUAGGCGGUUCGUUAAGUCCUGUGUGAAAUCCCCCGGCUCAACUGGGGAACUGCACAGGAAACUAGCGGGCUUGAGUUCGGGAGAGGGAAGCGGAAUUCCGGGUGUAGCGGUGAAAUGCGUAGAUAUCUGGAGGAACACCGGUGGCGAAGGCGACAUCCUGGACCGGUAUUGACGCUGAGGCGCGAAAGCCAGGGGAGCAAAGCGGG
rnacentral:rRNA from 1 species